UUUAAGGGCGUGAAUUUUGUUUGGGGAAAUGCCUAAAGGGAGUGCCAUUAAAGAUAGAUAAAUGGUUCUGGUCUGUAGCUGGGUGCUUGAGAAAUGUAUAAAGGUUUCAGGUCUGUUUUUUCACUGCUUGCAGUCUUUGCUUUGGGCAGUGCCCGUAAGCAGUAGAAAUGGCCAUCUGAAGAUGAGAUUACAAGGAUGUGUUCCCCAUCUCCAUGGUGGGGGUUGAUGCCCCCCUCUGCAGUGCUAAGGUUUUGCUCCGUCAGUGCUGUGCUCUGUCGACUGCUUCAUGGCUUCAAGUCUCUCUCCUUUUCUUACCACCUAUGCAAAUAAGUCCUAUCCACAUGGAUAUUACUGAGACAGCUGGGAAUACCCCUGGAAAAAUGUGAAAAACACAGCGUGUGUUGGGACUGGUGCCUCUCCUUCAUUAUUCCAUGUAAAUACAAGCAAUCUGACCCCUUUAAAGAGGCUUUGCAUUUCUCAGAAAAUGACCAUCUGUCAGGCAACAAGGGGCGCUCAUUAUUUAAAUUAAGAAUCUAUUCCCUGCUGCCAUUUUUGUUCACAUCUCAUUAUAGCAAAGUCUCUCAUACACCCCACUCCCCCAGCAUGAAGAGUUGAGAUCACAACUUACCCUUGCCUUUCCCGGCAGCUAUCACUCAAAGACCCAAACUAAAGGAUGCCACAAUUUAUGGGCCAAGAGAGCUCUGGACUUGCCAUUCAGAGGAUUUACAUGAAUCGGAAGAUAUAGUCAAAGGGCCCCAUAAACUGUGUGAUAGUGACUUUAAACAUCUUAUUAUGAAAUCUGAGUUUUCCUGAGGGGUGUGAAUACAAGUGAUGGAGGCUCAGGGAGGUCCAUCUGCAGGCUGGGGCUGGCAGGAGCUGCCCUUACAUGCUCUGUGGGCUGUUGCUCCUCAGCAUUUCCAAAAAAAACCCACUGUACUGAGGAGAAGGAGGUGAGGCCACCCAAAUAUUGCAAGUCAUCAUCCAUGAACCACAGCAACACCUCAUAAGCAGAUGCACAACUGUAGGAGUGGAAGAAAUUCAGCAGAGCCUCAACACACCUGCACAGCUCUACUGCUUUCUCAAGUAUUUACUGCCAAAGAACAGAAAUCUGGGAGAGCUUUUCUGGCUAGUUCUUCUUAUUAAUCAAAAAGCUUUGCCCGCCACCCCCAUCGUGCCAAAAGAACCAUAUCAACAAAUCCUUAGCUUGACAUGAUUUACUAAACGUCACUUGUCACAGGGCUGCACAGCUCAGGGAAACAGGAACAAGAAACCAGAGCAGGGAUCAGGCUGUGGCGUUAGCAGAUGUCCAUGGCUUCGUGGCUCUGCCCCGGGCUCUCUGUGGGCAGCCCCCUCCCCUCUACGGGCCUCGAUUCCCAGCUACAAGAGGCAAUACGGAAAAGCCCUACUUCUCACGGUCUGGGUGGGGGAAAGUAAAUUAAACACUAACAUAUCCAAACACUUCAGCGGUGUAAGUAAGCGAGGCUGGUCUUAGAAAUACCCAAUUCUUGAUUAGCUGGUGGAGUUGGUCCAGCUUUUAACAGGCUGCUGUCUCCAUCACAAAAUACCCAGAGAUUUAGUGGGUAUGAAAGCGUCUGACUUCCCUGAGGCUUGAAAGACAGCAGGGGAAAGCUCGUGCCAACUGUGAUUAAAAAGCACUGGGGGUCUGGGUUGACAAUUGCACAUCGUCUAGAGGUACUACGCGAAUUAAGAACUCUCUUUGCUAGAGGCAAGUUGCAUGGCCAGACACCGGAAAGGAUUGUGAAAUACUCAUAUUCUCUGCUGGAAAGAGCAUUUGGAGUGCAAACUAUUUAUUAAACAGUAAACCCUGUCAAAGCGCUUUCAAUAUAUUAUGUGAGAGGAAAUGCUUUGAUUUGUAUUACUUUUAAUAAGGCAAAUUUUAAACGUAUUUGGAAGAAUGGGAAAGGGAUCUACUCAAAAUAAGUAUAGAUUCUCCACAAGCAAUCCCAGCCUGUGUUUAUCACGGACAUCGUCACAUUGCAAGAUGCAAAAAUAAGAAUCAACAAAGCACAGCCUGCUGUGUCGAAUUACUUUAUACUCUAAAAAAAGCCAGAAGGGAGGGGGAGCUUUAGGAAUGCUGAAAUGCCAUCAAUGCUUCUCUUGAUCAAAAUCAAGACUGCACAUGUAGAAAUAUGUGAUCUUUCCAAGAGCCGAAUGCCAAGUGACCCCAUACCAGGAAAUUCUGAGAGCUGCAUUAUAGAUUGAGCCCAACAUUUACCAAGGAGAAGCAAAGAAACAUCUAGCGAAUGUCUAGGAGUUGACUGGAGCUGGAAAUAGGCGGCCAUGAAGAAGACUGGUAAAUGCUGGCAUAGUUGUGCAACUCAAGAACAUGAGAAGAAAUCCCAUUAAACGUGACUAAUCAAAGAUUUGGAAGGGAAUGGUUUAACAAUGCCUGCUCUUUGCCUCUGUGCCAUGGCUUUUUCAUGCUGCUGAAUGUUUUUGAAGCACUGCAUCCUGGUCAUUUGUGUGUUCAGUGUCUGGCCACAAAAGCACCCUCUGCUUGAACUUGUUCCUGCCGCUUCUGCCAGCUACAUUCCAGGGGAAAAUAAGCAAGAAAAUAAAAAAAAAAAAUCUCUGGUGCAAAUCUACGAGUGUUGGACAAAAAUAAACCACAAAGCUUGUUUCUGGAGCGCUCUUCAAAAGAAAUUAGUUGAAAGUAAAUCAAAGGCUAUCAUCCAAGAACAGCGAUGGAAAAACAUCAUAGAGACACCAGUUCAAGCAGUCACUUCAAGAGAUGGGCAAGUAUUGAUAGGAGAAUAUGGCAGUUGGUGCCUUCCCUCUGGUAAUCUAUUUCUAUCACAAGAUACUUUGCCUCAGGGCCUGCCUCUAGGAACAGGCUGUGCAAGGCACCCAAGAGCCUCAGCUGCACACAUAAACAAGGAAUAAGUUACUUCUUGAUGGCCCAGAUUGCCCACAAAAGCAAAAUCACAGGAUGAAGCCCUGCUGAAAAUCAGUGCUUUCUAAUCCACAAAUAAGAACAUAACCAUAAAAAUAGAAAUCUUCCUUCUCUAUUUUGCACUGGAAGAGCCUCAGCUUAAUUACAUCACACAACAAUGCUAACCACAAUAGGUCCAGAGGAAAACAAAACCAGCCUGGGAAACAGGUGGAAAAAGACUGAAUGAACUGGGACUAUUUAGCUGGAAAAAAGAGAGCAAGAAGGAAACUUUAUGAGCUUCAAACGCUUAAAGGGCUUCCCUACUAAUGUGGAAAAUCAGACCUGAUUUUCUUGCUUGUGGUGGACCAGUUAAGAAAAAAAUGGCCUUGGAUCAGUGCAAAGAGGAUACAGAGUGGAUGCUGGGGGAGGUCUUCCUGCAGCUAAGAGGAGGAAAGUGCUAACUUAGACUAGAAGAUCGUAAGAUUGUGAGGUGUCCAGCCAGGAGACGGACUGAGUGGGUGACUGUCAGCAAAGGCAGGCGUAAUUGGUCAUUCUCUAGGGCAGGGAGUGACCUCCCAGUGACCAUCCCUUGUAGACACAGAGGGAAACCCAUUUCCAGAGGUAGGGAUGGCUGCGUAGCUUAAAUCAGGGAGCAUUUCUCCAUGUGGAUCUGAGCUUUUCCAGAAAGCAGAAAACAACGGGAAGCUGAAGAGCAAGACGGGCAGACGGGGUCAGAUAUGACAUCAUGGGGGCUGAGCACUGUCAAACCUGCAGCUCACAAGACCAUGGGACAUAGUCAACAGUGCGCAUACAGUCCUGCAAGACUGAAGCACACACCCAUGCCAUGCCCACCAUUCGGCACCAGUGCUGCUCUCAAGAGCCCAGCUCUGCCAACGGAAACAAGUGAGCUUUGACAUCUCGCAGCACAGGAGCCUCAUCCACCCAUCUCAAGGCCACCAUCUGCGGGUCCCCUCUUGUUCUCCCAUAGGGCUGAAGGGGAAUGUCUGGCUCAAUCCAUAUCUGUGUCCAACGGAACUUAUAGCUUUCUCCUACUUCUGCUUUCAGUUCACAUUUAAAGAAGAAACGUUCCACAUCUCCCAGCCAGCAUAGCGCCUUCGGGACUAAAUUGCUGCUUAAAUGAGAAUUCAAAGGAACGUUUAAAAAUUUCAUCAAUGCCACUUGGACAUAUGCCUGCAGGCUGUUUAUCUUUAAAUGAGAUGUCAUAUGUAAUUUAGUGGCUAUAUUAAGUAUUGUUUUUCACUUUUAGCUGCAUUGCUCUGGGCAGCCCUGUAUCAGUGCGCACCUUCAUUCUUCAUUAGGAGAGAUAAAUGAAAAUGGCACCAUUUUUCUGAAUUAAAGUCCAAAUAUCUGACACGUCAAUACCAUCUAAUGGAACAAAGCACUGCAGAUUCCUAGAGCAGGUGUUUAAUUUGCAUGUUAUUACUGACAAGCAAGAUUAAUGCUUUGCUAAAUACUUAUGCUGCAAUAACAAGGAAAGCAGAAGGGGGUUAUACUUAAAAUGGCAAACAAGGACAAAAUAUUGCAAGUUCCUUUUCCUUCUCAAGUGGUCUUGACUUUACAGCAGAACUAAAAUACCAUCUCUGGUAUUUAUUUUAAAAUUUAAUUUAAAAAAAAGGCUGCCUCUGGGAUAAGGUCCUCAGAUUGGAGAAAUUUAUAUAUUAAUAAUAAUAAGGAGGUGCUGUACUCUGUAUGCUUUGACAUGACUUUCAGGAGGGACAACUGUUCUCCCUGCCUCUGCGGCCAAGUAAGCUCAGAGAAACUUCUUUCUGUGCCUCAGUUUUUGCAGCUGUAAAAUGGGGUCAGUGAUACCAACCUCCUUUUCUAGAUGCCUUUAGAAUUCACAUAGCACCUUUACAUCAUAAGUCAAGAGUUUUCCUGUAGAUUUCCAUAACGGAAGACCGCUUAGUUAUUAAUUGCAAGCUGCUGGAAAGUUCUUGCUUUCAAAUUCCAUGGACACUUGGACUUCUCCCUCAGCAAGCUCCAAGUUGAACAGCAGAAGGCAGACAGAAAAGGUAAAUUAGAGAACCCUGAGCAGCCAGGGACAGUGGGGAGCUUUGGGAAGCCUGAGCCCCACAUUGCUCAGCCCGGCCCAGCAGUGUAGGCUGCCCUAAACCCAGCUCACAGGCUGCCAGCCAAGCCUUGAAGCAGCCCAACGUUUCAGCCACUGACGUUGCUUAAGGUUUCAACAGCAUGAAAUGAAAACACAAUCUUUUCCAACAUCUCCUUUUACGCUACAAAGGUGAGCCUCAGAAAAACCCACCUCAUCUACAACACCUUAAAAACACCAGAUGAGCCUAUGGCAAUUUAGGGUAGUGAUAUAAAUGCCUUGUGCCUCAGUUUCCCCAUUUCAUCUCUGGCAAUGCAAAACCCCUUCCAUCUCUCCAUCUAAACAGCAAACCAGCAGUGCAGAAGUCUCUGGAGGCUCCUGCAUACACUAAACCAUUGCAGAGCUGAACAUGCCUCAUUUUUCCUCAGUUCUAGCUUGCAACCACAUCACACUAUUCUCAGGAAGAAGAAUAUCUGAAUUUCUUGAAAUUUGUUUUCAUUAAUAGGGAAGUUUCUAUGACUGUGUUUGUCAGGGGUCGAUAACACUUAGGCUGUUCAAGGUCUAUUAUGGGUGAGAUGCAACAGUUAAUUAGACAAGGAAUUUCUUGUUCAUUAGGAUUAAUUUCCUUGCAAUGCAUGGGGCUGUCACAGAGGGCAGGAUGACGGCAGAGGUGGUAUCCUAGAUGGGAUCUGCAGUCAUCCAGGGCAGCUGACUGGAUCCAGGUCCCUCACCAGCAUGGGCAGGGACAGAUGUUACUCCCAGCUCUUCCCAAAACCCCUCCUGGGAGGAGCGCAGGGUGAGCACCAGGGAGAACAAGUGGCUCUGUAGAGUCCGUGAAGGAUUUAGAAGGCCAUUUUCCACCUCUGGUCCUGCAUCUUACACAUUUUGGUGUUAUGCCACCCUAAAAUACCACAGAUUCUCCCCAAAACCUAAAGCCAAGGCUAUGGGAUGGUGGUGAUGCUCUCAAUGGGAGCACAUUACCUGCUUCUCCACCCUUCCUUCCGUUAAGCGGACCUGUGCAGGGAGACAGUUUAAGCCUCGUCCCUGAGGAACUCAGUCCCUCAGGACGUUUCUUUCUACACCAUAAGCAUGCUCUUGCCAGACUGUUUCCUACCUAUGCAUAUAACAGCAGAAUAUGGGAACCCAAACUGUUUCUGGAAUAAGGAGAAUAAGAAAAACAGAAAUGCAAUUAAAUUACAGCUCCAAGCCAUUUGCUCUACAGGAACUUUUUGCUCUGCAAAGACUUGCUGCAAAAAUUCAGAAGGCUCAUCCUGCUCUCAGCACCAUCAUAUGAACUUAGAACCUCUGCCAUGGCUUCAAGAGUUCCUCUGGAUUUGUCCCAGUGUCAUUUUGACAACAAUUGUGAGAAACACACUUGUUUUCAAUUUACAAAGCUGUAUCCAUUUAUACACAUUAGGUAUCCAGCUCCUGUUCUCCACCACUGCCCAAAGCAGAACAUUCGUGCAUCAUCGGAGGUUGGAAAAAAUCUGCCAUUUUACAGUGAACACAUCGUUUGCCAACCAAUCCAUGUGAUUAAACCAAGGAAAACACUGCCA